UUACAUUAGAAGGUGCUGGAAAGAAAAAAGAUGCUAGCGAUCUUAAAUGCCUCCAAGUGCCUUUAUGAGAUGCAAUCAACCAUGUCUUAAUUCCCUCUAUCCAUCAUUAGUUGAGUGGUGGAAAUAUAUGCAAAAGAAAAUGGAAGCCGGGCAGUAAGGUAGUGAAGAGGUUUUACAAAUUAGAUUAUUUGAGUAUAUGAUUCCUCAGAUAGAAGGAUAUUGUCCAAAGGGCCCUUUAAUUAUUAUUCACUUCCUUUGGUGCACAAGAGAAUAUUGUCAGGGCUGCAGGAGCACUUCACUGCAGUCGAAUUAAGAGAAUGACUGUCAGCCUCAGGGCUGGGUCUACACUGGCUCAGGCAGGGUGAAGACAAGACAUCGCUGAUGCUUGGACUGAGACGAGUGUGGUUGAAGGGGUGUUUGCCCACACAGUGAUCUUGAUCAGAUCCCUUGUCAAUGACUGGGUUGUCGUCCUGAGCAUUUACCCUCUGCAGAUACUCAGCUGUCCCCGAGUUCCAAUCGUCUGUUUCUUUCACGACACACGUUUUGACCAAGUGAGUUCCAUCACCCUCCUUUCUCUAACAUUUGGUUUGGAAAAGCCCAGGCAUCCAAAAUUGUUUUGUACUUUGAAAAUGUGGAAUCGAGCCGGGUACAGUGGCACACUCCUGUAAUCCCAGGGGCUCCGGAGGCUGAGGCAGGAGGAUCAUGAGUUCAGAGCCAGCCUCAGCAAAAAUGAGGUACUAAGCAACUGGGUGAGAAAAUGCCUCUAAAUAAAAUACAAAAUAGGGCUGGGGAUGGGGCUCAGUGGUCGAGUGCCCUUAGGUUCAAUCCUUGGUACUCCCCUCCCCAAGAAAAAGUGUGGAUUCAAAGUCUAGAACAAAAAGAAAACAAUAACAACAACAGCAGUGAAAGCAACUAGAUUUCUGGGCAUAGCCUCCUUCCAGCUGAGCUCUUCAGCUUGUGUCUUGGAAUGCUCUGGGAAUACAGUGCUCUGGUGGUGGUGUCUGGACUCCCUUACCUAGCACCUUUUAGGAAUCAUCCAGUGGUUACCAUGAGUUACAUAAUUUCUAUGUGAAGUUAAACUACCAUUGCCCAAACUCUGUUACAUGGUACAAUUAGGAUGUUAAUAGACGCUCCAGAAAAGGAAUAGAAAAUUACCUAGUGAUUGGUGAUGCCAGGAUAGUGUGUCUUCAAAGCAGGGUACCAAAUAAGAAAACCAGAUUUGGAAGGUCAAAAAUCUGGGCGGUCAUCAUGGGCAUAAGUCAGGGCUCUCUGGAAGUUUCUUGAACUUAAUUUAUGUUUCCUAAUAAAAUUUUAGACGUUGCAUUGUUGGUGAGAGAGCCGGGAGUUCUGCAGUCUUUAAGAUCAUCUUUCCAGAGCUCUUUCUUUUCUGGUGUGACUCUGACCCUGGAAAAGACCUGUAGCCCCCCAUUCCCUCUGCUUUCCUCUGGGGCCUCUCCUCCUCUUACCUUCUGUUUGCAAUGAGUCCCAGGGCACAAGUGGACUUCUCAUGCUUCCCAGCAGCAAAGAGGGAUUGAGAAAGAGGGGGAGAGGAGGUUGCUGGUGGGCGACGAUAGGUAGAGAUACUGGUAAUCUUGAAGCACUUUAUGGGUGUAAUAAUUACCAAAGGCCCCCCUCUACAGGGCACCCUGGCUUUGUGAAGGAAUUAACUGAGGGCCUUUAUCAACCCUGGGAGAGACAGCCAGGUGGGUGUGCAGAGGUGUCAUCCUCCAUGCUUGGGAGGUGUGGUCAUUUGCUGGAGACUUUAGCUGUGUUCUUCCACCUUUCAGUGGCUUUGAGAGCAGUCUUUGUGGGCAUCCUGGUGUAAACAGUGACAAGGAAUUAAAAUGAAAAAUGAUCUGACCAAUGGCAAAAAGGCAACAGCAUCAGCAAUAUACCUGGAGAUGUUAUUGAUCUGAAAUGAGGGGCCUCCACAUUAUCAUUGAUGAUGUUUAAAUAUCGUGUUCACUGGACCCUCAGAGGUGAGCACACAUUUCCAUGUAUGGAAAUCUUCAUUCCAAGUUUCUGCCCCAUUGAGUGGCAGGCUCCAUCUAAGAUUUUCAUGUUUACUAGUACUUUUUUUUUUUUUUAACCCCACUGAGCUACAUCCCCAGCUCUUUUUUAAAAAGUUUAUUUCAUUUUAUCUGUCUAUCUAUCUAUAUAUUUAUUUAUUUAUUUUGAGAUAGCAUCUUGCUAAGUUGCUUAGGGCCUUGCUAAAUUGCUGAGGCUGUCCUCAAAUAUGCCAUCCUCCUGCCUCAGCCUUCUGAGUCACUGGGAUUACAGGACUGUGCCACCACACUUGGCUUUGCUAUUGUCUGAGUACAGAUUUAGGUUAAGAAAGGCUUUUGCUGCCAGACAGAUUAGGUGUUGGUCCGUCUUAUUUAUUCACAUAAAAUAACCAUCCCUACUCACCUUUAGAGUAAAUGGGCAGAGGAUGAGGAGGGGCAGGAGAAGGUAUCUUCCCUGCUCCCACCCCACAUGCCCAGUUCUCAAUAGUGUCACUAUGCUGAUGAUCCUUGGCCAAUCACUUAAAAAGAAUAGCCUUCUUUUUCGUAUUCACAAAUAAUACAUGUUCACUGUAAAAAAUUUAAAACAUAUACAAUGAAACUUAUAAAAUUAAAAUCAUCUGUAAUCUCAGGACCCAGGAUGGUAACAACUUUUUGAAAUAUAUUGUCCUAGCAUUUCCUAAUGCAUAUACAUAGAUGCAUAUUCACAUAUCAACUUUAAAAAAAAUGGGUCUCUGGGACUGGGAUGUAGCUCAGUGGUAGAGUGCUUUCCUAGCAGGUGUAGUCCUAGAUUCAAUUUGCAGUAUGUAGUAAUGUAAAACGAGAAAAUAAGUUGUGAUGGACAUUCAGUUUUAUAACAUGGACUUUUUCUUCAAUAUAACAACAUAACUUUGCCCCAGUAUUCAGAUUGUUUUAUAACCUGUAUUAUUCACUUACCAUGUCAGGCUAUGAUGCCAAGUCACAAAUAUUGUCUAUUAACAUCACUUUUAAUGCCUCUUGCAGGAGAAUUUCCUUAAUGUGAAACAUUUCCAUUGUAUAAUUGAAGGAACUUUCUUUGAUUUCCAAGAUUGACUACUUUAGAUUGUUUAUUGGACAGUUACACUUCUAGUUUUUGAAUUUUCUCUUUUUGUAUUUGACAAUAAUUGGCACAUUUGAU
rnacentral:lncRNA from 1 species